UGGGGGAUUUUGCACAAUGGGCGCAAGCCUGAUGCAGCGACGCCGCGUGAGGGAUGAAGGCCUUCGGGUUGUACACCUCUUUCGCUGGGUUGAAAGGCCAUGCUUUGGGUGUGGUUGAUUUGAACUGGUAAAGAAGUACCGGCUACUACGUGCCAGCAGCCGCGGUAAUCCGUAGGGUACUAGCGUUGUCCGGAUUUAUUGGGCGUAAAGGGCUUGUAGGUGGUUUGUCGCGUCUGUCGUGAAAUCCUGUGGCUUAACCGUGGGCUUGCGGUGGGUACGGGCAGGCUUGAGUGGGGUAGGGGAGAGUGGAAUUCCUGGUGUAGCGGUGGAAUGCGCAGAUAUCAGGAGGAACACCGGUGGCGAAGGCGGGUCUCUGGGCCGUUACUGACACUGAGGAGCGAAAGCGUGGGGAGCGAACAGG
rnacentral:rRNA from 1 species